AUAAGCAUAGCAUUAGUGAUUUUUUAAAUUUAGUAUACUAUGGAAAAUCAGAUGAGACUAAAAGGCUAUGACCUCUGACUCCUGCUGGGUCAGUCAGGCUUGUUUGACAUGUGAAGAUCAUAUUUGUCUGGACUUGUAAAAAGACAACAGAAGAGCCUCAAAGACGAGAGGAAGCAAGAAGAUAAAGCAGGUCCAUCAGCCUCCAACUCUACCUCCAUCAUUGCUAUCAUCCAAGAAGCUGACAAUGCUGGUCUACCUGUGCCUACUGAAGUGGAGAGCAGUACUAUCGUGCUUACUACCACACCUGGCUCUCCAGUUUGUACUCCUCCAGUAGAUCCAGCUGACUGGCCGUCAGUCCUUGAUGACCAGUUACACGUUGAUGUGAAUCCAAAGUGGCUGUGCAGAAAAGAGGAAACAGUCAGUUCAGAACCUCUGACUUCAUGUGCCACCCCCCUCCCCACUUCUGAAACCGAACCUACAGCCUUGAUCUAAGCUGAAGGAUAUCCUGAUGUGUACACUGUAGUUCUCUUUUUCUGUCUUUACACUGGCACAUCACAAAAUGCUUAUCUUGUAAACAAUACAUUUGUUGUAGUGAUUGCAUCGUUAUAUGUGAGGAACAUAUAUAACAAGAAGGCUUUUAUAUCCACCACUGAUUAAUUAGGCUUUUUAUGACAGAUACAAUAAGAUGACAGAGAAUCAAUAGUGUUUAUAUGAAUUGUAAAACUUGAAAACUUGAUGACAGUGAAACCUGGACUGCCAUGGUGUGAUGACACCAUCAUCUGGUCCUCCAAUUAGCACAAGCUUCUUGAUGCGCAGGAAGUUUCCCCUCCAUGCUGAGGAGGUGAAAUGGAGAAUUUUGUUUUGUUUAACAAUGCACAUUUUUACUGUACAUCCACAAGUACAUAAUGACCAGGAUAGUUAAUGAUUCCAUUACCUUUCAUGUUGCUGUGAGGUUUUUCACCAUUAAGGACCGGCAGAAAGCUGUUGCUCUGCAGGUAGCGGGACCUGUGGUGAGGGUCUACGGAGAAAAGAUAAAUAAAUAUUUGUUUUUGUAUGUUUUCAAGUGGAAUUGUAAUUUCAUGUUUGCUGCCUUUCAAAUUUUUGUCGCAAAUCAUUCUCACCGUUCCAGUAGUCGCAAAUAGAUACUUUCUGUCCCAGCUUGCUGUAGCAAAUACAAAACAGUGUCUUCUUCAUGGAGUCUGGAAAUAUAUGCCUCAGGUACUCUGUGUCUGUAGAGUAAGACAGUGAGAAAUCCAGACUUUUGCAAUGUAGGAUCUCAAAUCAAUGCUGUUUGUUGCUGUAUAUUAAAGGUUCUGGUGAAUUAACUGAGAGUUGUAAAAAAAUCCUCAUUCCCUGAAUGGCAAGGGAUAUUUAGACACGCUUAAAACAUCUGACCUCCAUACUGCCCAGCCAGUGGUGAAGACAGCGAAAUGAAGGUGUGCACUUUGUGGUCUGGAGUCGUGGAGAGAAGUGCUCGACAAAUUAGACCACCUUAGAAAAAAGGAAGAGGACAACGAUGUCAAAACACAAGAGUUCUGACAAACCAAUACGUAGUAUGUGAUCUGCUGCGUUAUUAGCAGAUACAGGCCUAAUAUUGUAUGUAUGCUAAGAGUGGAGAAGAAAUGACAGUGGUUACCAAGUGGGUGACUCCCUCUGAAUGUAUAGCAUCAAAUUAGACAUGUUCUAACAAGACUGUUUGUUUCCCUGCCAAUAUUACAGCUAUGCUAGCAGCUGUGAGACUGUACCUAUGACAGCAAUGCUUUUUAGAUAAAUGCUAACAUUAACAUGCUAAAAGUCUUGUUUACCGGAUAUGACAUUUACCCUGUUCACUUUCUGAGGUUUGCGUGUUAGGAUGCAAAGCUUUGCUAAUUAGCAUUAAAAGCAGCGGAGGUUGAUGGGAAUGUCAUUAGUUUUGCAGGUAUUUGGUCAUAAAUCAAAGGACAAACUGAUUUUGUGAUCUAAUGAUGGUUAGAGGAAAUGCAUCACUAAAGUGAUUACAGUUCAUCCUGAGGGGUACACCUAAUUUCAUUUCAAUCCAAUAAUUUGCAAUCUUCAUUCCAACUGUUGUUCAGACAUUUCACCGGAAGCCACAACCUCAGGCGGCAUCAGAGGAAAAGUUGGAGAUCACCAAAGUCAUUAUCUGACAACCAUGAAUAUCUGUAAUACAUUUUGAGCCAAUAUAUCUAGUAGAUGUUGAGCUAUUUCACAGGAUUAGUGGAAAAUGUCAGUAGGAUUUAUGUUCUAGGGACUAUGAAUGGCUAUAAAAAAUGCAAUGGCAAUCCAUCCAAUAAUUGUUGAGAUAUUUCCACAUGGACCAAAGUGGUGGAUUGACAAAGCAGCCUACAAUGGGAUCCAUAUUGCCAUGUCACUAGCAUGGCUAGUAAACACAUCAUCAUUGUCGGUUGAGAGUCUCAUGUAUUUCAUACAUUGAAAAAUGUUUUUUUCAAAAUGUCUGCUAUGAAAAAGACUUACUGGAGGAGAGUAUUUGAAUUAAUAAACAUACAUGAAGAUCUAUUUUUGCUGAU